GUUGAGGGGAAUGUUGUUUGGCUCGAGGUUUCUUCUUCCUCACUCCGUUUCUCAAUCGAUCGAUCGAUCGACCGACCGAGAUUUGUGAGGAUCAACGGAGAGAAUCGUAUAGAUCUCGGACCAGGCUUCAUUCCCCCCAAU
rnacentral:pre_miRNA from 1 species